rnacentral:tRNA from 1 species
GCUGGAGUUGUGGAUCAGUGGUAGGGCACUUGCCUGGCAUGUGUGAGGCCCUGGGUUUGAUCCUCAGCACAGCA